rnacentral:lncRNA from 1 species
GCAUUUUCUUUAUUUUUAAAAAUUUUAAUAUUCAAUUCGAAUAUAUUCAGUUAAAAUAAUUUUUUUUAUUACACGGAGUAGAAAUGCUAGUAUAUAAUACUAAUAAAUUAGUGACUCGAAAUAAAAAAAAAAUUACUAUAAUUGUAAAAGCAACUCUCAUAUUCACAUCGAUCGAUUAUUGAUCAAGAAUAUUGCAAGACAAAGAAAUCAACAAUAUUAUAGUUAGUGAAAAUAAAAAUAGAAAAUCAUAAAAUAAAAUAAAAAACAUAACAAAAAAGAAACAACAUAACAUCAAAAGACAAAGAAAAUAGAAGGACUAAUUAAGGAUUAAAAUAAAUUAGAGGGAUCGAACAUGCGACAUCUUAAAUUUUGCUCUAAUCAUUCACCACUUUGUCCAAUAGUAGCAUUUGUAAUAUAAUUUGAAC